ensembl:lncRNA
CUUUCAUGCAUUGGAGAAGGAAAUGGCAACCCACUCCAGUGUUCUUGCCUGGAGAAUCCCAGGGAUGGGGGAGCCUGGUGGGCUGCCGUCUAUGGGGUUGCACAGAGUCGGACACAACUGAAGCAACUUAGUAGUAGUAGUAUGGGAUGGGGUCGGAGAAGGCAAUGGCAACCCACUCCAGUACUCUUGCCUGGAAAAUCCCAUGGAUGGAGGAGCCUGUAGGCUACAGUCCAUGGGGUCACUGGAGAGUCGGACACGACGGAACAACUUCACUUUCACUUUUCACUUUCAUGCAUUGGAGAAGGAAAUGGCAACCCACUCCAGUAUUCUUGCCUGGAGAAUCCCAGGGACGGGGGAGCCUGGUGGGCUGCUGUCUAUGGGGUCACACAGAGUCGGACACGACUGAAGUGACUUAGCAGCAACAGGAGCAGCAGCAUGGGACAGGGUGACCUGAGGCUAUUGGGGCUCCCCAGGUGACUCAGGGUCCAGGUUCCCCCAGAUGACUCUCAGUCCAGAGCCCCCCAUGUGACUCAGGGUCUGGGGCCACCCCAGUAGAACUGGGGUCUGUGGCCUCCCAGUGGACUCGAGGUCCAGAUCGCCUCAGGUGACUCAGGGUCUGGGGUGCCCCAGCUGACUCAGGGUCGGUGUUCCCCAGGUGACACAGGUCCCGGGGCCACCGCAGGUGACUCAGGGUCUGAGUUCUCCUCAGGUAACUCGGGGUCUGGGGCCCCCUCAGGAGACUUGGGGUGUGGGGCGCCCCCAGGUGACUCGGGGUCCGGGGCCCCCUCAGGUGACUCGGGUGCCGGGCCCCUUGUGUGGCGCGGCGGCCCAGCGUGCAAGACUGAGGGAGGCACCUGCCUGUCAUGACGCGCUCGGGGUGAGUGUGCGCUGACAGACCGAACGGACACCCGAGAGCUCCCAGAAAUGCCCGCCACGAUUCUGCUAAGUUAUGGUGAGGGCGGUGACGAAGCUCAAGAUGACAGCCGUGACGGAAGUCGGGGCUGGCUCACCGUGUCACUCCUCUUCGGGCCCGCCCCUCACACCGCCCCGUCAGUCCCCGGGACCGCCCUCGACCUCGAAAGCCCC